rnacentral:rRNA from 1 species
UACGUAGGGGGCUAGCGUUGUCCGGAUUUAUUGGGCGUAAAGAGCGUGUAGGCGGCCAGGUAGGUCUGCUGUGAAAACUCGAGGCUCAACCUCGAGAUGUCGGCGGAAACCAUCUGGCUAGAGUCCGGAAGAGGAGAGUGGAAUUCCUGGUGGUAGCGGUGAAAUGCGCAGAGUAUCAGGAAGAACACCCGUGGCGAAGGCGGCUCUCUGGGACGGUACUGACGCUGAGACGCGAAAGCGUGGGGAGCGAACAGG